AACCUUUUCCGGCUUUGAAAUAGGAGUUUCACUUGGAGACCCUGAAACAUUAGGUGGAGCAACGGUAGGUAAAGGAGAAAUAUUGGAAACAAUCGUAGAUACAGGAGCAGUAGAAAAAGCGGUAGAUAGGUGGACGGCCUCGGGAACGAUGGGAACAUUAGUAGUAGGAGAAGUAGCAGAUACAAGAGCCGAGGAUGGCGGCUCCGUUAUUUCAACAGGAGAGGCAGGUUUCUUAGGGUAGACAUCAGAUACAGUGAUAGUAGAUGAAGGGUCGUUAAUUAAUUUGGCAGAUGCGCCUGUAUUUGGAGUCGAUUUAUCUUCUGAAUCCUCUUCAACCUGUGUCGAGUCAUCGUUAGAGAUUACAUAGCCUUUUGUAUCUUUCUCGCUCUUAAACUCAUCUUCAGAACC